GAUGAACGCUGGCGGCGUGCCUAACACAUGCAAGUCGAGCGAGAAGCUCAUGACGGACGCUUCGGUUGAAGUCACGAGUGGAAAGCGGCGGACGGGUGAGUAACGCGUAGGCAACCUGCCCUUUGCAGAGGGAUAGCCUCGGGAAACCGGGAUUAAAACCUCAUAAUACCGCAGUGAGACAUCUCACGGCGGUCAAAGAUUUAUCGGCAAAGGAUGGGCCUGCGUCUGAUUAGUUAGUUGGUGGGGUAACGGCCUACCAAGGCGACGAUCAGUAGCCGACCUGAGAGGGUGAUCGGCCACAUUGGAACUGAGACACGGUCCAAACUCCUACGGGAGGCAGCAGUGGGGAAUAUUGCACAAUGGGGGAAACCCUGAUGCAGCAACGCCGCGUGAAGGAUGAAGGCCUUUGGGUCGUAAACUUCUGUUCUAAGGGAAGAUAGUGACGGUACCUUAGGAGCAAGUCCCGGC
rnacentral:rRNA from 1 species